rnacentral:pre_miRNA from 1 species
AGGAGAUUGGUUAAAUUUAUGAGUGAAAUGUAUGAAUCCUCUAAAAUUUGCCUCAACCUCCUAA